AAGCCAGUGGUGAACUCCACAUACGCAUCCUUUGCUGAAGGUGCGGUUAACGGAGCGCAAGCGACGUUCAACCUCAAAAGAAGCAGAGGGGGCUUAGUGGUGGGGUGACUGCGUACCUUUUGUAUAAUGGGUCAGCGACUUAUAUUCUGUAGCAAGGUUAACCGCAUAGGGGAGCCGGAGGGAAACCGAGUCUUAAUUGGGCGUUAAGUUGCAGGGUAUAGACCCGAAACCCGGUGAUCUAGCCAUGGGCAGGUUGAAGGUUGGGUAACACUAACUGGAGGACCGAACCGACUAAUGUUGAAAAAUUAGCGGAUGACCUGUGGCUGGGGGUGAAAGGCCAAUCAAACCGGGAGAUAGCUGGUUCUCCCCGAAAGCUAUUUAGGUAGCGCCUCGUGAAUUCAUCUCCGGGGGUAGAGCACUGUUUCGGCUAGGGGGCCAUCCCGGCUUACCAACCCGAUGCAAACUGCGAAUACCGGAGAAUGUUAUCACGGGAGACACACGGCGGGUGCUAACGUCCGUCGUGAAGAGGGAAACAACCCAGACCGCCAGCUAAGGUCCCAAAGUCAUGGUUAAGUGGGAAACGAUGUGGGAAGGCCCAGACAGCCAGGAUGUUGGCUUAGAAGCAGCCAUCAUUUAAAGAAAGCGUAAUAGCUCACUGGUCGAGUCGGCCUGCGCGGAAGAUGUAACGGGGCUAAACCAUGCACCGAAGCUGCGGCAGCGACGCUGAUGCGUUGUUGGGUAGGGGAGCGUUCUGUAAGCCUGUGAAGGUGGCCUGUGAGGGUUGCUGGAGGUAUCAGAAGUGCGAAUGCUGACAUAAGUAACGAUAAAGCGGGUGAAAAGCCCGCUCGCCGGAAGACCAAGGGUUCCUGUCCAACGUUAAUCGGGGCAGGGUGAGUCGACCCCUAAGGCGAGGCCGAAAGGCGUAGUCGAUGGGAAACGGGUUAAUAUUCCCGUACUUGGUGUUACUGCGAAGGGGGGACGGAGAAGGCUAUGUUGGCCGGGCGACGGUUGUCCCGGUUUAAGCGUGUAGGUGUGUGUUCCAGGUAAAUCCGGUUCACUUUAACACUGAGGCGUGAUGACGAGGCACUACGGUGCUGAAGCAACAAAUGCCCUGCUUCCAGGAAAAGCCUCUAAGCAUCAGGUAACAUCAAAUCGUACCCCAAACCGACACAGGUGGUCAGGUAGAGAAUACCAAGGCGCUUGAGAGAACUCGGGUGAAGGAACUAGGCAAAAUGGUGCCGUAACUUCGGGAGAAGGCACGCUGACACGUAGGUGAAGUGAUUUACUCACGGAGCUGAAGUCAGUCGAAGAUACCAGCUGGCUGCAACUGUUUAUUAAAAACACAGCACUGUGCAAACACGAAAGUGGACGUAUACGGUGUGACGCCUGCCCGGUGCCGGAAGGUUAAUUGAUGGGGUCAGCGCAAGCGAAGCUCCUGAUCGAAGCCCCGGUAAACGGCGGCCGUAACUAUAACGGUCCUAAGGUAGCGAAAUUCCUUGUCGGGUAAGUUCCGACCUGCACGAAUGGCGUAAUGAUGGCCAGGCUGUCUCCACCCGAGACUCAGUGAAAUUGAACUCGCUGUGAAGAUGCAGUGUACCCGCGGCAAGACGGAAAGACCCCGUGAACCUUUACUAUAGCUUGACACUGAACAUUGAGCCUUGAUGUGUAGGAUAGGUGGGAGGCUUUGAAGUGUGGACGCCAGUCUGCAUGGAGCCGACCUUGAAAUACCACCCUUUAAUGUUU
rnacentral:rRNA from 1 species